rnacentral:rRNA from 15 species
CGAGAGGAACCGUUGAUUCAGAUAUUUGGUAUUUUCGCUUAGCUGAGAAGCUAGUGGCGAGAAGCUACCAUCUGUAGGAUUAUGACUGAACGCCUCUAAGUCAGAAUCCAUGCCAGAAACGAGAACGGUGCCCGAUUACGCGAGUAUCGAUAGCUUCGGCCUGUACCGUAUAAUUCACUCGGGUUGUCAAAUGAGAUUUGGCGCCUUGUGGUAGAAUUGCAAUUUCGAACAUUGGGCACGAGAGAUCCUUUGCAGACGACUUAACAAGCAACGGGGUAUUGUAAGCAGUAGAGUAGCCUUGUUGCUACGAUCUGCUGAGAUUAAGCCUUGGUUGU